rnacentral:rRNA from 1 species
CAGCAGCAGCCGCGGGAAUACGAAGGGUGCAAGCGUUACUCGGAAUUACUGGGCGUAAAGCGUGCGUAGGUGGUGGUUUAAGUCCGUUGUGAAAGCCCUGGGCUCAACCUGGGAAUUGCAGUGGAUACUGGGUCACUAGAGUGUGGUAGAGGAUAGUGGAAUUUCCGGUGUAGCAGUGAAAUGCGUAGAGAUCGGAAGGAACAUCUGUGGCGAAGGCGACUAUCUGGGCCAACACUGACACUGAGGCACGAAAGCGUGGGGAGCAAACAGGAUUAGAUACCCCAGUAGUCCCUGUCUCUUAUAC